AGGCUUUAAAAGACUUCGUUUCAAUUUAAACUCUAGGGUUUAUACCCUUUUGAGCUUUGGAUCUUCAAACCAAUAGGGUUUAUUUACAAAAGGGGGUUUAUUGCAUAUAUAAGCUAUUCCAUAAUAUUUGGAAGAUUAUUUGGAGUUGAAAAAGUAUUUUAUUUAAAUAAUUAUAUAGCCCUAAAGGCCUUUACAGGGCAAAUGUAUUUUUAUGCAUUUUAUUUUGAGGGGAAAUCUCUCCCAAAAGUUGAAUCAUGGUGAAACAUGAUUUUACAAAUUUUCUGAAAUUUAUUUGGACCUCUUUGGAGUUCAAAAUCAAAAGUUACCAAAGAAAUAAGAAAAACAGAAAAAAGAAAAGGCUAAAGAAAAAAAAUAGAACGGACCGCCCACUGGGACGGCCCACUAAGCCUCGCCCGGCCGAACCGCCCGACUGACCAAGCCGCCCGACCGACCGAGCCGCCCGACCAACCAAGCCGGUCCGCGCGCGUGCCCACUGCCACUGACAGG
rnacentral:lncRNA from 1 species